rnacentral:rRNA from 1 species
AGCAGUCGCCGCGGGAAUACGGAGGGUGCAAGCGUUAAUCGGAAUUACUGGGCGUAAAGCGCACGCAGGCGGUCUGUCAAGUCGGAUGUGAAAUCCCCGGGCUCAACCUGGGAACUGCAUUCGAAACUGGCAGGCUAGAGUCUUGUAGAGGGGGGUAGAAUUCCAGGUGUAGCGGUGAAAUGCGUAGAGAUCUGGAGGAAUACCGGUGGCGAAGGCGGCCCCCUGGACAAAGACUGACGCUCAGGUGCGAAAGCGUGGGGAGCAAACAGGAUUAGAUACCCGGGUAGUCCCUGUCUCUUAUAC